CACUGGACCUCACCCAGAUCAUUGGUAGCAGCUCUACUGGCCUUGAAAUCAUCAGUAAAAGUUUUGAUGGAGUAAGAACAUAAGAAAGCUGAUUCAAAAUACACCCUCUGAGGCCAAACUUGACCUCUUCUCAAACACUUCUGCUAGGCUCAAAGAGGCUGAUCCACAGGGAUCAGUGUCAAAGGAAGGUGCUCAGGGUCCAGGGUCUGGGAUGCUGAAUAUGGCACUUUUUCAAGAGAAAUCUCCAGUGGAGGUCAGCCAGACAAGCAGCACUUACUCAGGAACGAUGUGAUGGGUGUGUAUGUGUGAACGGCAGGCGUCAAAUUCAGCUGGCAGGUGAACAUGAGCCCCUACAGAAUUGCAUGCGAUAUGUACAGUCACAAGGUGGGGGACAGCUGCAAAGGUUCUUUGCAGACUUUGAAGGACUUUGAUUUGCUGGCCCACCUUGUUUUUUUUUUGCCUGGCAACAUUUGCCUUUUUUUUGCUUCCUAAGGCCAGUUUUUCAGGAAGGCUUAUGAGAACUUUUUGUUUCUGCUAAACCAUUUUGCUUAGGGUUGAUUGCAUAUAUACCCUUAGCCCUUUAUUAGAUUUUACAUUAUUUUAUCCUUUCAGCUCAGACUGAAAGGGCUUCAAUCACCUGGGUUACACAUGUAACUUAAAAAAAUAAAACUGGUGCUAUAUUUGAA